CGGGAGCAGAAGUAGCACAAUCAAAAAACAAUAAAUGUGGUUUCUACAAUAGAACACAAUGAUUCAUACAAUCAAGCACACAAUUAGUUAGGAUGCACACAAAGCCAGUAGUUGUCAGUUAGAUCAGUAGUUAACACACACCAUAACUACUACAUAAGAAGCAUUAGAACAUCAUAACAUUAGAGUUCACACACAAUUAGUAGAUUAGUUCACACGUUUUGAAAGGCCAAAUGUCAGGCCAUAUGGUCCAAAAUGUG
rnacentral:lncRNA from 1 species